CUUUCUCCUUUUCAUAAUACUAAGGUAAGCAUCAAAGCCCAGCAACUUGUUGGGAGUAAGGGCUGAAAAGAGCUCUUUGUAUAGGUCCGGUUUGCUGGUUUUCGGGAACAUUCGACUCCACUAACAAAAAGAUUCUUAGAUUCCAUCCUUCCCCCUGCCUCGACCUUCGCUCCCGGUUUCGGGUCAAUGGAACUGCCUCUGCCUCUGGUUUUUUCCCCUUUUCUUCUCUUUUUUAUCUUAUUACCUGUCAUCAAGCCUCCUACCCCAGAUUUUUGAAGUCAAUUUUGAAUAGACUCAUCUCUAGGCUUCGCAUCUUCAUGAAAAAGACCCAUGCCUCCGCUUGUGGCUUUCAUACCACCCAUACAUGCUUUCAUUCUCUCGCCUCCCCCGCCAUUGCCUUUACAUCGCAAAAAGAAAAAAGGGUUUAUGCCGAAAGAGACAAGGGUGUUGUAUGUAUGUAUAAGUCCAAAAGAGCUGUGAUGGCUCUCGAAAUGGAAUUAGAACAGCAAGACGAACUAGGGGUAGCACAUUAACAAGAUAUUCCAUUUGUGAUAGCGAUGGCAGAUAAACCAGAUAUGUUGGUUAGUUUUAUCCUUCUCAAAGCAGUAACACCUAUUAGUUAGUAUGGUUGGGUAAUUUAAAGUCUUACCUAGGUGUGCCGCUCGCCCGCAGGUGCGUAUUAAUACAAGAAGAGAGGCUUUCUUAUCUUCUUUUUUUCAUUUUUUAAGGAAAGUACUUUGAACCUAACUAGGAGUCC
rnacentral:lncRNA from 1 species